rnacentral:rRNA from 1 species
CCUACGGGGGGCUGCAGUGGGGAAUAUUGGACAAUGGGGGGAACCCUGAUCCAGCCAUGCCGCGUGUGUGAAGAAGGCCCUCGGGUUGUAAAGCACUUUCAGUGAGGAAGAACGCCUGGUGGUUAAUACCCAUCAGGAAAGACAUCACUCACAGAAGAAGCACCGGCUAACUCCGUGCCAGCAGCCGCGGUAAUACGGAGGGUGCGAGCGUUAAUCGGAAUUACUGGGCGUAAAGCGCGCGUAGGUGGCUUGAUAAGCCGGUUGUGAAAGCCCCGGGCUCAACCUGGGAACGGCAUCCGGAACUGUCAAGCUAGAGUGCAGGAGAGGAAGGUAGAAUUCCCGGUGUAGCGGUGAGAUGCGUAGAGAUCGGGAGGAAUACCAGUGGCGAAGGCGGCCUUCUGGACUGACACUGACACUGAGGUGCGAAAGCGUGGGUAGCAAACAGGAUUAGAUACCCCUGUAGUC